CACAUAAUCAACAGGUCUUUAAAGUAAUUUCAACAUCAAUGGCAGUUUGUUGACUGGAAAUACUAACUACAUCUGAUCAGUUCUUGCCUUAGAUCUAGCCAAAUGACAAAGUUUUAUUCUGAAGUCUUUGAAUGAAUAGGAUGGAAUCACAUCAUAUCUACUUUUGUGUUAGAAAAUGUUGGACUGUCAAAAACGACUCAUCAACACCUUCUUUCAUGGCAACAAACCUCUGUGAAAUGCCACUAUCUGUAGAGCACAGUGACAGAGUCUGCAAAUGAAGAAAAGAUAAAGACACAGCAUAUACCUUUUGGGGGCCUCAAGAGGAAGAAGGAAUACUUCUAAGAGACUUUUUUUUAAAAGAGAUCAAACUGGCAAAUACAGGGUUAGGUGAUUUCCAAUUCUGUGCUGUUAACAAAAUUGAAGGAAGACCUAAUAAAAUUGUCAGCUUAAACUUAAUAAAAUUAAAUUUUGAUGAUAAAUUAUCUAUGAUUUGGGGUUUAUAAUUCAGAAGAAGUUCAAAGAUUUGAGUGACAUUGCUAUAACAAAAUACUUUCCAUUCCCAUCUCCUUAUUUGUGUAAACACUCAGUGAGUAUUGUAUGUAAAGCAAAGCAUAUGAAUAAAAUUGAUGCUUAAGCUUGUCUUAUUCUAGUAAUAAGUAAUACUCACCAAUGAAUACAUGAACUAACCAGGGAACAAAACAGCCUAUCCAUCAAAUUAAUAGAAGCACUUUCCAAAAAUUGUCAUAAUUAAAAAUUAGUUAUGAAAUAUAUAUAAUAUGUAUGUUUUUGUUAAUUGUAUACUAAUAACAAUUACAAUGCUAACUUAGUUCUGAAGAAAUGUUAACACAGUCUUAACGUCACAAAAACUAAAACAAAAUUUCAAUGUACAUAUUUUGCAGAGAAGCAUGAUGGGAUGUUAAAAAAGACUUUAAAACAUAAAAUACAUUGCAUUAGAAUAAAUUUCUAUGGGGACAGUGUAAUGGAAACAUGAGUUCAAGGAGAAAAUGUCAAAUUUUUGACUGUUGUAGAAGAGUUUUUCAUUUAUUUACAUUUCAUUAAGUAUGAGUAUUUAAGACUCGUUGGAUACAUUUUAAGGUGAUAGAUAAGACUUAUUUGAAAAUAUCAGUAUUACAAUAAACCAGAAAUUAUAUGUUUUGCAACUGUAUAAAAUUAGAAUAAAAAAUUGAGAUGGCAACUUAAAUGUGACACUGUACUUAGUUUUUCAAAAUUCUUUUAUAACACACAAGCAAAAAAAGCCUGAAGACCACUGUUCUGGGACAGAGGUUCUCUUUCUGAUGGGAUUUAAGAAUCACUUGGGGAGCCUGGAAAAGCUGCAUCUCCUCAGGGUUAUCCCCCAGAGAUUCCUACUCUGUAGAUACGAAGAACGUGAGGUUUUAAAAAGCACUCGCUAAUCCCUGGUGGUUCUGAUGCGGGAUCUGUGGAGCUAUGACUGAGAAUUACUGCUUCCAGGUUUCUUCUCCAAUCACAGCGUAUCAGCCAAAAGCUGUUUACUUGAAUUGUUUUUGUUUUUUUUGAGUGGGAGUGGGGGCAUCUGUAGAACUUACCUCCUGUGUGACAUUUUGUGUCACAUAUUCACCUUGCAUUUGGGAUACCCUGAGUAAGUUUUAUGAAGCCAUUCCUGCAUUUGUAAAGAAAAUUAUCUAAGACGUCUUUCCAUGACCAGCUCUCCCCAGCUGCCACUACUGUCCACAUAUCAUAAAUUUCUUUCAGAAUUAGAUACUAAAGAAAAUGUUGCUUCUUUGGGGAAAUAUUGGCAUGUAUUUUUCCUUAGGGACAAAUCAGUAAACUGGUUUUGUUUUUAUUUUCUUUUGGUAUGCAGGGGAUCUCAAAGCAAUUUUGUGACCAGACAUGUGAGACCCAACCCCUGUUUAUGACUUUCUAAUCUAAUUAAUACUUUUUUGUG
rnacentral:lncRNA from 1 species